UUUUUUUUUUGUGUAGAUGUCCAUGUUAGUGUAGCACAAGUGUGUUUGACAAUUUUCAUGAGAUACGGGAUUGCAGUGCUUCUGUGGUGAAAAAACAAAAUUAAGUGUAAGUGUGUAACAUUUGGAGGUAACAUUUGGCGUUUGACUUUUUUUUUGCAUAGGUCAAGAUGCUUAAGUUUUUCUCUUGAAAAUUUAUAGGUAGCAUUUGGGUGCGACAAUGAACACAUGUACUUUUUUUCAAAAAAAAAUGGACAUUUGCAAAUAACAUUUUUAGCAUGCCCCACAUUGGAUUUCCGAAAAGAAGGGGUGUAACAUUGGAUGCAAACCUAUAAAUUUUUUUUUCUGUAGAACUUUAUUUUGGUACAAGUUUUAUAAUUUUUGACAAGAGAGUUUAAUCCAUCAAGAUAUCAAAAAUUUAUAUAAAUAAUGGGCAGCACAUAGAAGCAAGUUUAUACAAAGAAUGGGCAAGACAAAUAGCAAAGAAGAUAUGCCAAAAAUGGACAAGAGAAAUAGCAACAGAUAAAUCAAAGCAAGUUUGUACAAAGAAUGGGCAAGACAAAUAGCAAAGAAGAUAUGCAAAGAAUGGACAAGAGAAAUAGCAACAGAUAAAUCGAAGCAAGUUUGUACAAAGAAUGGGCAAGACAAAUAGCAAAGAAGAUAUGCAAAGAAUGGACAAGAGAAAUAGCAACAGAUAAAUCGAAGCAAGUACUUGCCACCAUAGUUUUUCCCUCUUGCAUCGUUUUAGCUGUAAUCUUUCAACGGCAAUUUCCAUCUUGAGAACCUUACAAACGGCCAUAUACUUUUUGGGCUGAGAGGUAUUAACCUUUAUGGCAAACUCUUUUUUAAUACUCUCCAUAAAGAAAUACGAGAGUGUUUAGAUCACUACUGAUCUAAACGCUCUUAUGUUUCUUUACAGAGGGAGCACUCUAUAACAUAAUGUUUGAGUGUCAUUCUGAAGUUAUCCAUUGAAGGACAAGUGUCGCUCAUGACCAUCUUUGGAUUAUCCCUAUCAAAGGAAGUGAACUGCUCCUCGGAUUCACGAUGAUCAACGGGUAAUGCUGUAUCAUCAGUGUGAUUGGCAUCAACGACCCAGAUAUUAGCAUCAACAGGAGAGGUGUUAGCGUCAUUAGCAGCCUGGCGCGUGCUCUCAUCCUCCUUCAGACCAAGCAAAAUUAUAUAUCGUGUUCUCGACAUGAACAUCAAAAAUCAUAUGUUUCUUCCUCUAUCACAAGAGUUGAUCAAUCCACCCCGCUGAAGGUGGCCCGCGCCGCACUCGAAGAACAUGUAUGUACAUCACCGUUAGCCAUACAAGGCAGGGGGAAAAAUCAAUGUCGCAAAUAAAGGGUUAUCACGUGUAACGCAAAAUUAAUAAUAUCGUAAACAAUGAAACUGCAGAGCAAAUUAAAAGUACUAGUGUUACCUAUUAAUUGGAUUAGCUGCAUACUGGCCGUGCUCCUUGUGCAGGCAGACGGCCGACGGAGCGCUCAACUAAGGCGUGUUGUUCAUCCCACAAUCGAGCAUCGUUUGACCAAAGACAACAUGCAUAGUGUCGACUGAAUGCUAGUAGUUGGAUAUGAUUAACUGAGGGCUUGUUCGGCAUCACAAUGUCGUCCGGUACAGGCAGGGCUAAUAACGUUGGUCUUCCACCCCGAAAUAAUAAUAAUAAUAACGUUGGUCUUCCUUCUCAUUUAUUUUUAGUUUCUUUAGCAUCAAUUUUUUUUCUUGCCAAACUUUUUUUCUUCGCAAACAUUUUUUUUUUGAGAAAAUUUUCUUCGCAAACAUAACGCUGAUUGUUGGGAUAUCCUCUUUAGUUGCCGGCCUGUUGGGCUAUAAGAAAGCCCAGACUAUGGGGCUCCCGAUCUGUCCGCAGGCUCAGGUUUCGGUUGCUAUUUCUCGAAAAAUAAAAGUUUUAGUUGCUCCUGUGCAUACUUUUAGUACCACAUCGCUUCCGGAAAGGAAAGGUGAGCUGCUUAUAUACCGGUCCAAGGACGUUGCUGACACCACCUGGGACAUGUGGUUAGCAAAUUCAAAAUUCACAUAGAAUUGAUAUUUGUCUACGGCAUGUUUGUUUCGGCCAUUAACCUGGGCGUCUCAUUAAAUGCCUGCUACCACUUCGACAUGGAGUGCGUGCAUUUCACGGGAUGCCUAUUUUUUCGAGAUUUACAGGAGCUGCUAGGCCUUGUUUGGUUGCUGGGGGAGAUGUACUCGGGGUAGAGCUGCCCCGGACUGAAAAUUCCUGGCAAAACGAAAAGCCCAGGGAAAUUUUGCUUAGAUUCAUCUUGACAUUGAUACGUGUCAAGCAGUCACCAGCACACCAGAUCUCGCCGCUGGAGCUAGCAGCCGCCGGAGAUGCAGAUCCAGCCCAUCGGAUGCAUCACACCAGAUCUCGCCGCCGGAGCUAGUAGCCGCUAGAGAUGCGGAUCCAGCCCAUCGGAUGCAGCGGAGGGGCUUGAGCAGGUCCUCGUCUUCUUUGUUCCUCGGCGAGGAGAGCUUGGAACAGAGAAGAGAGGAGGGGUCGACCAAUCGAGGUGGCCGGCGGGAGGGACAAGGAAAGAUCGAGCGAGACGGCGGCGCGGUUUGUGAAUAGGCUAAUUUUUUUGAAAUAAUACAUUUUUUAUUAAUUUUCAUAAAUAUUACGCUGGGUAAUUUUUUUUCAAAAAUAAUACACCGUCGGCCCACAGCAAGCCGAUUGGACUCCAGUCGGCCUACAGCUGGCCGACUGGCCCCUGUCAGCCCACUGGAGCUAAUUGGCUCGCUGUGGGCUAAUUGUUUUUGCAAAAAAAGUAGGCAUCAAAAAUAUAUGUUUAAAAAAAUAUUAAUUAUUUAAUUAAAAAAUGUUAAACGUGUAUAAAAAAUGUUCCUGAUGUAUACAAAAAAUGUACAAUAUAUAUGCAAAAAAGUUGACUAAAAAUAUGUUUUAAAAAGUGUUAAUCAUGUAUUUAAAAAUUGUUAAAUGUGUAUAAAAAAUGUUCCUUAUCUAUACAAAAAAUAUAGAAUGUGUAUGAAAAAAGUUGACACCAAAAAAUAUGUUUGAAAAAAAAAAUUUAAUCAUGUAUUUGAAAAAAUGUUCCUUAUCUGUACAAAAAAUAUAGAAUGUGUAUGAAAAAAAGUUGACACCAAAAAAUUAUAUUUGAAAAAAAAUGUUAAUCAUGUAUUUGAAAAAAUGUUCAAUGAGUACACAAAAAUGUUUCAUGUAUUGGAAUGAAAGGUUAAACGUGUAUAAAAAAAUGUUCCAGCUCCGGAUCCGGUAUGGGAGCAUCACGGACCUAAGCAUGAUUGGUUGCUCUUUUUUAUGGAACUGGAAUAUUUUUUUCAAACAUAUUUUUAUGGUGUCAACUUUUUUUCAUACACAGUCUAUAUUUUUUGAAUAGAUAAGAAACAUUUUUUAUACACACAUUUAACAAUUUUUAAUCAUGUAUUUGAAAAAAUGUCAACUUUUCAAACAUAUUUUUUUGGUGUCAACUUUUUUUCAUACACAUUCUAUAUUUUUUGUAUAAAUAAGGAACAUUUUUUAUACACACAUUUAACAAUUUUUAAAUACAUGCUUAACACUUUUUAAAACAUAUUUUAUGUCAACUUUUUUGCAUAUAUAUUGUACAUUUUUUGUAUACAUCAGGAAUAUUUUUUAUACACGUUUAACAUUUUUAAUUACAUGAUUAACUUUUUUAAAAAAUAUAUUUUUUAUGCCUACUUUUUUUGCAAAACAAUUAGCCCACAGCGAGCCAAUUAGGUUCAGACGCAAUCAGCCCACAGUGGGCCGACAGGGGCCAGUCGGCCAGCUGUAGGCCGACUGGAAUCCAAUUGGCCUGCUGUGGGCCGACUAGGCCCAGUCAGCCUGCAGCGGGCCGACGGUGUAUUAUUUUUGAAAUUUUUUUAUCCAGCGUAAUAUUUAUGAAAAUUAAUAAAAAAAUGUAUUAUUUUAAAAAAAAUAGCUGCGAAUAGAGGGAGCGAAAGAAACGAGGGACUUCUCCCACGAGUCGUGGCUGGUGUUUUCUGGUCCCGGGGAUUCGGCCGGGGAGGGCCGAAGUUUCCCUGACUUGGGCCUCGACCAAAUGGCCCUUCAGAAUUCCCUGGGAGAGGUUAGCACGUGCCUUUCUAUCCCUGGGAUUGGGCCGGGAUACCUGGGUUUUCCCCGUGAACCAAACGAGCCCUUAGAGGUUUUCUUCACACAACUUCCCGUAAAACGGAUAUGGAAGCUAUUGGAGUUGCUCUAAGAUGAACAUAUACAUACGAUCAGGGAAAUUUUUUCUUUCUCCCAGUAGCGAUCGGGUAUAGCAUCCGCUGUAGGUGUGCAUCUUCCUCCUUUUCCCGCACUAUACUAAUCAUCUCUCACAAUCUAGUCCCCAGUUCAUGUUUAUCAAGAACUAACAAUCACACCUUUCUAGUGAUAAUCAAACCGCAAGCAACUUGAUAACACUAGGUCAAUCACCGCAUACGCAUGCGGUGGUUGCUUUUUUAUGUUUGUUCGUCGAGCGGAAGAGGCUGCCGUUUUAUUACAUCACACACAGACCAUUGCUACUACAUAAGGUUUGUUUUAUUACAAUCACACACAGACCAUUGCUAACAUAAGGUUUGCCUCCUCGCAACACUAACAUUUGAGCCUGCUCAUCUUCAGUGGAGUUCCUUGAGGAAGUCCGCAUGAUCCACCAGAACCUGCAACCCCAAGAAUAACAUUAGUCACAUACUGAUACUGUGG
rnacentral:lncRNA from 1 species